AGACUAUCCAAACCGCAUACUCGAGAACAUAAAUAAGAAAACCCAAAUGAAAUAUGCGACAAAAAUGAAAUCUUGCUGUGACAAUAAACCACUUUAUUAUACACAAACCUAACUUGGUCAAAUGAAAAUCUACAGAAGGAUCCUAGAAUUAACACACACGCAUUCAAGAAUAUAAAUAAUUUUUACCACCUGCAUUUUGUUAAAAAAUUAAAAUAAAAUAAAAACUCUACAGAAGGAACAUUAAAUCAACACAAGGUUGAAACUUUACUACACCCAAAAUCAAAUAUUUUAGAAAAUGCAUACCAAAAACAUCAUAGACCAGAAUAGCACCAAGCUUGGAAUCCACAGUGCCAGAAAUAUAGCAUUUGAGGCCUCUAAGCUCUUCAACAUGCCAUGUUCCAUUGCUUGAGCCUAGAACUGCUGGGUCUUCACAGCUCUGAGAGUGAGGGCUUGACAUGUUACCUCAAUUUUUGGAAAAUGAGUCAAAUGUUUGGUUCUGCAAUAGUACACAGCAAAAGGGUUGUUAAUUUGUUGAAGAUUUAUAAAGGGAAAAUUUGCUAAUCUAUUGCCCAAUCAUUUUUCUUGGCAAUUGUAUCUUAAAUUAA
rnacentral:lncRNA from 1 species